rnacentral:rRNA from 1 species
CCUACGGGAGGCAGCAGUGGGGAAUAUUGGGCAAUGGAGGCAACUCUGACCCAGCAACGCCGCGUGAAUGAUGAAGUAUUUCGGUAUGUAAAGCUCUAUCAGCAGGGAAGAAAAUGACGGUACCUGACUAAGAAGCCCCGGCUAACUACGUGCCAGCAGCCGCGGUAAUACGUAGGGGGCAAGCGUUAUCCGGAUUUACUGGGUGUAAAGGGAGCGUAGACGGCUGUGCAAGCCAGAUGUGAAAGCCCGGGGCUCAACCCCGGGACUGCAUUUGGAACUGUGUGGCUGGAGUGUCGGAGAGGCAGGCGGAAUUCCUAGUGUAGCGGUGAAAUGCGUAGAUAUUAGGAGGAACACCAGUGGCGAAGGCGGCCUGCUGGACGAUGACUGACGUUGAGGCUCGAAAGCGUGGGGAGCAAACAGGAUUAGAUACCCGGGUAGUC